rnacentral:ncRNA from 1 species
GAUAUGGAAAUGAGAGGGAGAGUAGGCUGUCGUUCGCCUUGCAGAGAGUGGAUGGCUUGGCUGUGACCAUCCUAGGUAGAAAGCAGCUGAAGUGCACCCUUGAUCCUCCAAUCCGAUCCACUCCUCGUGGGGUAGGUUUGGACGGGAGCACCCGUUAGCGUGCGCAAAAGUGCUUGUCCCGGGCUUUGUGGCGCCGGGCAGGAAGCAGAGUGGAACCGCGGCCCUCGUCUCUGUC